CUACGGGAGGCAGCAGUCGAGAAUAAUUCACAAUGGGGGCAACCCUGAUGGUGCAACGCCGCGUGGAGGAUGAAGGUCUUCGGAUUGUAAACUCCUGUCAUCCGGGAGUAAGACCUGGCGAUGAAUAGUCGACAGGGUUGAUAGUACCGGAAGAGGAAGGGACGGCUAACUUCGUGCCAGCAGCCGCGGUAAUACGAAGGUCCCGAGCGUUGUUCGGAAUCACUGGGCGUAAAGGGAGCGUAGGCGGCGCGGUAAGUCAGAUGUGAAAUCCCGGGGCUCAACCCCGGAACUGCAUCCGAUACUGCCGUGCUAGAGGAUUGGAGAGGUAGCUGGAAUUCUUGGUGUAGCAGUGAAAUGCGUGGAUAUCAAGAGGAACACUCGUGGCGAAAGCGAGCUACUGGACAACUCCUGACGCUGAGGCUCGAAGGCCAGGGGAGCGAAAGGGAUUAGAUACCCCUGUAGUCCG
rnacentral:rRNA from 1 species